AUGAGCGAUAAAGAUGACUUCGAGGUGGAGAGCGACGAAGAGCAACCGAGGUUUCAAUCUGUGGCUGACAAGUGGGCUCACCAUAAUGCACUGGAACGAAAAACGUAGGGACCACAUCAAAGACAGCUUUCACAGUUUGCGGGACUCAGUCCCAUCACUCCAAGGAGAGAAGGCAUCCCGGGCCCAAAUCCUAGACAAAGCAACAGAGUAUAUCCAGUAUAUGCGAAGGAAAAACCAUACGCACCAGCAAGACAUUGAUGACCUCAAGCGGCAGAAUGCUCUUCUGGAGCAACAAGUCCGUGCACUGGAGAAGGCAAGAUCAAGUGCCCAACUGCAGACCAACUACCCCUCCUCAGACAACAGCCUCUACACCAACGCCAAGGGCAGCACCAUCUCUGCCUUCGAUGGGGGUUCAGACUCCAGCUCAGAGUCCGAGCCUGAAGAGCCCCAGAGCAGGAAGAAACUCCGGAUGGAGGCCAGCUAAGCCAUGCGGGGCAGGCCAGCAAUAAAACUGUCGACUCUCUCGACACGUCCUCCU